CGCAAGCCUGACGGAGCAAGACCGCGUGGGGGAGGAAAGCCUUUGGGUUGUAAACCCCUUUUCUCAGGGAAGAAGAAAGUGACGGUACCUGAGGAAUCAGCCUCGGCUAACUCCGUGCCAGCAGCCGCGGUAAUACGGAGGAGGCAAGCGUUAUCCGGAAUCAUUGGGCGUAAAGCGUCCGCAGGUGGUUUUUCAAGUCUGCUGUCAAAGACCAGAGCUCAACUCUGGGCCGGCAGUGGAAACUGGGAAACUAGAGUUCGGUAGGGGUAGCGGGAAUUCCCAGUGUAGCGGUGAAAUGCGUAGAUAUUGGGAAGAACAUCGGUGGCGAAGGCGCGCUACUGGACCGAAACUGACACUCAGGGACGAAAGCUAGGGGAGCG
rnacentral:rRNA from 1 species